UAUUCACGGGAAAUAUUAAUUAAAAAAAAUUAAACUUCUCCCUCUCUUUAAUUCCCAAAAUCACAAGACUUCUUGUCUCCUUAAAACAAAAAUUAGAAUCCCUAAAAUUUUCUCAUUACGUAUGCUUGCUUCUCUCUGUGCAUUCCUCUCUACGUUCCUCUCUGCAUCUUUCUCAUCACGUUCCUCUCUGUGCGUUUCUCUCAGUGACAUGGAAAUAGAUUUUGGAUCUGAAGAGAAUGCUUCCGUUGUAUUUUCUGCCUUAGCUGUUGACAAAGAGAUUCUAUCCUAGACAAUGGUGCACCUUGGGGAAGGAUAGGAGUGUCUGAAGAACAACUUCAACCAGCACAGAAAGCAGUUUGCAGAAUCUGGUUUAAUAGAAAAUCGGAGAAGAAAUAGAUAGGAGGGCAGAAAGAAAGUUCAGGUACAAAAUGCAGAAGGAAGGAAUUUUAAAGUAAAAUAUGAGUACUACAGACAAACGUGAAAAAGAUAUCUUCAAUUUUGAAGGUGAAGUGAAAUCAAGUGCUAAAUUACUUAGGAGAUUUCAAAUCAAGCGUGAAAAGGUAUUAGGAAAGACUUGAUAAUGAAGAUCAGCCUUAUGAUGAUGAAGAGACUGAAUGAUGUUACUUACAUGGAUAGAUGACUAGCUAUGCAUAAUAUUCCUAGAUAACACUUUAUAUUGAAAUUUAGAAAUUUUAUGUAAACUUUGACAUCUUUGGAUAAUUUUAUUUGGAGUUUUAUGCUUUUGAAUUGUCAUAUACUUGUAACUAAUUAAUGCAAGUGAAUUUUACAUGUGUUUGGAUUUUAUUUUAUAAU